rnacentral:rRNA from 1 species
CAUAUACCGGUUCUCGUUAGAUCACCGAAGUCAAGCAUCAUUGGGCGCGGUCAGUACUUGGGUGGGUGACCACCUGGGAACACUGCGUGCCGUU